rnacentral:misc_RNA from 1 species
UACGGAGGGUGCAAGCGUUGUUCGGAAUCAUUGGGCGUAAAGCGCGCGCAGGCGGCCGGCCAAGUUCGGUGUGAAAGCCCAGGGCUCAACCCUGGAACUGCACUGAAAACUGGUCGGCUUGAGUCCAAGAGGGGUUAGUGGAAUUCCUGGUGUAGGGGUGAAAUCCGUAGAGAUCAGGAGGAACACCGGUGGCGAAGGCGACUGACUGGAUUGGAACUGACGCUGAGGCGCGAAAGUGUGGGGAGCAAACAGG